rnacentral:lncRNA from 1 species
GGCAUGCUAGCUGAGAAUAAGUAUUUAUCUAUAAAACUCUAAAUCAUAAAAUAACUGGAAUAUUUGUAUUAUUACUUUUGUGAAGCAUUUUUAUAAUUAGAUCUUCAAAGAGAAUCUAAAAGUAUUGAGUUUCAUUUAGAAGAAAAGUGUAGAAACUCUACAACAGAGAAAGACCUUGAUUUCUCUUAAGACUCAUAAGACAGCAUUUUCUUUUUUACGUGGGUGAGGCCCUAGGUUAUUCAGAACCUUGGGGCAUUUUCUAAGAU